UUUGAAAACCACGCACACAGCAAGCAGAACCCCCUCUCUCUCGUGUCUUCACCGGCGACCAGAGAUCGGAGCUCCGGCGCCACGUUUUUCUCCGGCGAAUCACUCACCCAUACACCCACACCCUUUUCUCACUCUCUCACGCCGCUCCGACGACCGGUGAUCGAGGUUCCGGCCAGCUCCGCCAUCAUUUUCGACAACCGCAACCACUCUCCGACACCCUCCUUGCUUCUCUGAUGAUGACGGCUGAAGAUGAUGUUUCGUUAUGAACAUGAUCGAAGAUGAUGAUGUUGACGCUGGUUAUCGUUGACGGCGACGGUGGUGCCUCGGAACUCCGGAAGACGUGAUAUAUACGGUCGCCGAUGACUGGGUGGAGUCCGGUGACGGCGGAGAGUCGCCGUCGACAGUGGCGACAGGGCAGUGGUGGUGGCUGUGGUAACAGGCCACUCCAUCUCAGAUACGUUCGGUUCAGUCAAGUCCGGCUUAGAUAGAGGAGACAAGAUGACAGCUAAAGACUGAAGAGGUGGAUAACUCACGCUAGGUAAUAUAAAGAUCUUCUUUGCGUAACACUAAAGAACCUUGAACGGCGAUUGUGACGACGGUGGAGAAUCUGGUCUGGAUUUUGCCAGAAUCAACGCCGAUGUUUGAACGCCAAAUCGCGAAACAGGAAAGGAAACGUAGUUGUCAAAUUCAGGUCACCAUGUGAAAUAGUUGCCAGGCAGAUUAAAUUUCAAGUCCUUGCUAUCAUGUUGUGCCAUUUAGCCUUGGUUAACAAUCAGCGAUGUGGCUUAGAAUAGAAGUUAAAGAGAAUGGAUAAGUUGUAAAUGCUUACUUGAUGAGCAAGGCAUGAAUGAGUUGUGCAGGUUCGUGUGUGAACUGUGAAGACCAGAAUCAAGUCGCGUGCCUCAAAGAGGUCGCGUGAAAAAUGAUGACACAAGGAAUUGCUAUUUGGAUGGCUACAACCUAGGAACAUUAUGCAGCCGAAAGCCUGACAUAAGCCGUAACGCCUAUGCCAGAAAUCUACUAACAGCGAAAUAUCUUUUUAUGGUCGUAACUUGCAGCUGGUGUAAGUAAGAUAAGUUGCUUAUGGAUUGAUACAACGAUAUUUUGUAUACACCAGGUAGAUAGGGUAGACGAUGAGAAUGAAAUACACAAACUUAAUGUAAGAAGCAUCGGAUUUUUAUCCACUGUGAUAUAUAUAUAACCAAUCCCCCGCCGCAUCGCGGCGGGUCAUAAAUCUAGUUUAAAUAAAACAAGUGGUUGG
rnacentral:lncRNA from 1 species